rnacentral:rRNA from 1 species
AUUGAACGCUGGCGGAAUGCUUUACACAUGCAAGUCGAACGGCAGCACGGGGGCAACCCUGGUGGCGAGUGGCGAACGGGUGAGUAAUACAUCGGAACGUGCCCAGUCGUGGGGGAUAACGUAGCGAAAGUUACGCUAAUACCGCAUACGAUCUACGGAUGAAAGCGGGGGACCGUAAGGCCUCGCGCGAUUGGAGCGGCCGAUGUCAGAUUAGGUAGUUGGUGAGGUAAAGGCUCACCAAGCCGACGAUCUGUAGCUGGUCUGAGAGGACGACCAGCCACACUGGGACUGAGACACGGCCCAGACUCCUACGGGAGGCAGCAGUGGGGAAUUUUGGACAAUGGGCGCAAGCCUGAUCCAGCCAUUCCGCGUGCAGGACGAAGGCCUUCGGGUUGUAAACUGCUUUUGUACGGAACGAAAAGGCUCUGGUUAAUACCUGGGGCUCAUGACGGUACCGUAAGAAUAAGCACCGGCUAACUACGUGCCAGCAGCCGCGGUAA